rnacentral:rRNA from 1 species
UACGUAGGGGGCAAGCGUUGUCCGGAAUCAUUGGGCGUAAAGCGCGUGUAGGCGGCCCGGUAAGUCCGCUGUGAAAGUCGGGGGCUCAACCCUCGAAUGCCGGUGGAUACUGUCGGGCUAGAGUGCGGAAGAGGCGAGUGGAAUUCCUGGUGUAGCGGUGAAAUGCGCAGAUAUCAGGAGGAACACCAAUUGCGAAGGCAGCUCGCUGGGACGUAACUGACGCUGAGACGCGAAAGCGUGGGGGAGCAAACAGG